rnacentral:rRNA from 1 species
UACGGGGGGGGCAAGCGUUGUUCGGAAUUACUGGGCGUAAAGCGCACGUAGGCGGCUUUGUAAGUUAGAGGUGAAAGCCCGGAGCUCAACUCCGGAAUUGCCUUUAAGACUGCAUCGCUAGAAUUGUGGAGAGGUGAGUGGAAUUCCGAGUGUAGAGGUGAAAUUCGUAGAUAUUCGGAAGAACACCCGUGGCGAAGGCGGCUCUCUGGGACGGUACUGACGCUGAGACGCGAAAGCGUGGGGAGCGAACAGG